UACGAAGGGGGCUAGCGUUGCUCGGAAUCACUGGGCGUAAAGGGUGCGUAGGCGGGUCUUUAAGUCAGGGGUGAAAUCCUGGAGCUCAACUCCAGAACUGCCUUUGAUACUGAAGAUCUUGAGUCCGGGAGAGGUGAGUGGAACUGCGAGUGUAGAGGUGAAAUUCGUAGAUAUUCGCAAGAACACCAGUGGCGAAGGCGGCUCACUGGCCCGGUACUGACGCUGAGGCACGAAAGCGUGGGGAGCAAAUGGG
rnacentral:rRNA from 1 species